AGUUUGACGUAUUAUUGACUAAUAAAUAAAUAAAAAUUAAUAGUACAUUUAGAAGGAGUACUCCAUUACUUUUAAUUUUAAGUACUAUAUAAAGUUAGUUGUUUUGCAAAUACAUUGUCCAUUCAAUUACUUUUAAUUUACUUGAUUAGGUGUAGGCAUUCAAAGGCAGACCAAUAUUUAUUCCUAGUGAUCGAUGAUAUGAUGGUGGUAUUGCAGACUGCUUAAUAUAGGGGCUUUGCUCAUCCGUCUCUCACUUUUGGUUCUAUCUUAAAUUGUUUUGGAGGUCCGUGCUAAAUUGGUGUUUGCAGAAAUCUCCAAGUUCACCAUGUUUCUAAUAAGUUUUUGAUUAAUGCAAGCGGCGUAGAUUAUUAGUUGGGGUUAUAAGGGUUGAGGAGCCUUUUGGGUUAACUUACAGGCGAACUGUUUUUUUCCCUUGUUUUUCUGGUUGCAGAUGUUGUGCUCCUUGAUAUGUGGGAAGGUCGAUGGAGAACAAUAGCCUAACUCCUAUUGUGUUGUUCUCUUCAUUCGGUAAUAGCUCUCGACUUUAUUUUGUCCACAUGCUCUUCGGGUGAGUCUUAUCUUUGAGGGUCGUUUGUGUGGUUCUUCUUUAAAAUAUUUUGGUUUUGAAACUUGACACCAGUAUAGUGCAACUCGAUUGAUAAGGAAAAGGUUUGCAAGAGGACCUUGUUCAAUCCUUUUUAUUUGUUCCUAUUCCUUUUUGUGUUGGUUACUAAUACUUCUACCUACAUUUCUUCUUUCCUUAAUAUUCAUAUUUUCUUGUAUUGAAUAUACGACUCGAAUUUCGGUUGUGAUUCGUUGUGGACAUUUGAGUUCUUUUUCAUAUUAGAUGAACGUACUUCAGGUGUAUGUUUUCAUACUAUUAUCCUAUAAUAUUUUGUUGUAUUGAAUAUAUAACUCGGAUUUUGGUUGUGA